rnacentral:rRNA from 1 species
AGAACGAACGCUGGCGGCAUGCCUAACACAUGCAAGUCGAACGCGUGUAGCGAUACACGAGUGGCGGACGGGUGAGUAACGCGUGGGAACCUGCCCUGGAGUGUGGGAUAACCGAGGGAAACUUCGGCUAAUACCGCAUACGACCUGAGGGUGAAAGAUUUAUCGCUCUAGGAGGGGCCCGCGUCGGAUUAGCUAGUUGGUGGGGUAAAGGCCUACCAAGGCAGUGAUCCGUAACUGGUCUGAGAGGAUGAUCAGCCACACUGGGACUGAGACACGGUCCAGACUCCUACGGGAGGCAGCAGUGGGGAAUCUUGCACAAUGGACGAAAGUCUGAUGCAGCAACGCCGCGUGGGGAUGAAGCUUCUCGGAGUGUAGACCCCUUUCGACCCGGACGAAUGCCCGCAAGGGUUUGACGGUACGGGUAUAAGAAGCCCCGGACUAACGUACGUGCCAGCAGCCGC